ensembl:lncRNA
GGCGAGCGAGGCUGGGUCCCGGCACGCCCCCGGAGCCCCCCGAGUGGAUUUCCACGCGGAAAGGAUGGUGGCCGUCCGGGUGACCUGCGGAGACACGGCCGGAUCCACCUUCCAGCCUGAUCUUUUGAUCAGGGAGGAAUUCAAAAGAAUGCCCCCUUGUGAUGGCUGCGCUGUCAAGUACAUGGAGCUUCCCUCGAGGAUUUUCUGAGCCUUGUGGAUAUACUGUGAGCCUCGCUGCCUGGGGAGUAAGGCGGCGGAAGCAGUCUCUGGGGGGACCCAUGCCCGCAGCAUUUCUGGAUGCUAAAGGUGGCUUUAAGGAAGGCGCAGCUGAGUGCCUCGUGGAUUCCUGCAGCCUGGAUGCCUGCGGGGGACAGAAGACCGAUGCUUCCUGCCCUCAUCACCCAGGAAUGUUGGGAGGGGGCUCCGCCAAUUCCCUGAAGGGCUCCCAGUGAAACGCACACACCACACGCCGGUCCCGAGGGCAGCCUGCAUCCUCACGGCCCCGCCUGACCACCCCCCGACCCCCUGGGAAGAUGGGUAGCGCUCAUCCAUCGCAUGCCUGAAAGGACCCCCUUCCUCAGUGCACUCGACUUCCUGUGAUGGCUGUGGUGUAAUCUGAAAAAAAGCAGAUCCGUUCAGAACUCCAGAAGGACUUGAAAACUGUCCUGCCCCGAACGAAAGCUGGAAUAUCGUGGGCUUUGAUGAACCAAGGAAAAGUGCCUUCAUCAGGACGCAGCAGUAAGCCUGCUGACUACUUAAGCCCUGCCUAGGUUCCUAGGAAAUGGGCAGGAAAAGUGCCUGCCACCUGCUGCUUGCUGGUGUGCUGUUUUGGCAGCAGGAGCUGUGGGAACACACAGGGGCAGGAGAACAAACACAUUACACACGAGGACUUCCAUCCUCCAGCCAGCAAGGUGCCGACACCUCACACUUGCACUUACUGUGCGGCAGGCACAAAUGGAGGAGGGUUAAGUAAACUAUAAUUCUCCACCUGGUGCAAUAUUAGGAGAUCCUUGAAAUGAUCAUUUUCGAAAUUCCCGUUCCAAACGGUCUUAGAACUCUGUAUCUUCCUCUUAUACGACUUACCAUGAUUUUUAAUAAUUUAGCUGCCCGGUUACUGAAUUAAUGUCUGUUUCCCCUACUCCUUUGAUGGGGACAGUGCCCUUUUUGCUCACCGUUUUCUCUCAGCUGCCCAGCAUGGUGUCUGGCUUAUAGCAGGUGCAAAAUAAAAUUGGUUGAAUACAUGCCAAAUAAGGAUUUUUUAGAUCCUUGAAACAACAGGCUGAGUGAACCAAGCAAAGCACAAAAGAGCACGAUGUGAAAAUGGAAGUGCAUGUGCAUAUAGAUGACUUCUAGAAGGCAGCUCUGGGAAUGUCACGUGUUUAUGCCAGUAUGGUGGGACGCAGGGCUGAGACUUGUUCUUCCUGCUUUAUUUCCUCCAUGCUGUGCUUAUGCCCAGGGGGCCCUCCCUGUCCAUCCCAGAGGCUGCGCCUCUUGCAUCCCACUUGCUUCGGGUCUAGGAGAAGAGGAACAUCCACUUGGGGUGGGAAGACUUGGUUUGGAAGCUGUCACUCUCCUUCCUUCACCUGCUGCAGGACACUGAACAGUCUUCGAACCCCUCAUAGCUUAGUUGCUUCAAGUUGAAAAUGUGAUAACGGUACCUGCGCCCCUGCGUCUCUCUAACGAAAUGCUGUAACAAAUGCCUUGUGGAUGGGCGACCCCGCUGUAAAGUGUUCCAGGGCUGGCUGCUCCCCAUCCUUCUCUGCCGUGACACCUGAGCCCCUGGUACUCUGCGGGGCCCUGCAGCUGCCCGCAUGCCCCGUGGACUGAAGGCGAAUGUGUGGCUCCACGGAGGUGCUCGGUGCACUUAGGGUUCCUACGUAGCCAUCUGAGAAUCCCUCUUGAAGGUAAACAGGGAGAUGACAGCUAAUUAACUCAGAGUGCUUCCACGGUGCUCAGCCCUACUACUCAUUGACUGGUCCAUCAGUCAUCCAGCAGUCUUUACUGAGUGCCUUCUGCAUACGGAUUGUGUCUUCAAUUAGCCCUCAGUGGCUGCUGACGCCACCCAGACUCUGAACUUGGAGGCAGCACGAGAGUCUCUGGACAUCUUGUGCUCAGGCUGCUGAGGGAGAGUCAGGGCGGUUCACCAAGGGGCUGAGGGGAGCCUUCCGACCUUGGAAGGGGACUUUUUCAUCCAGGGAUCCAGGCCGACUCUCCCCCUCCUUUUCUUCCAGAGGGUCCUUGGCGAGGUGUUAGAGGCUGGGUGCAUUUCCCAGGGCUGACAUACACGACAGAAGUGUAUUCUCCCACAAUUCCGGAGGCCAGAAGUCCAAAAUCAAGGUGUUGGCAGGGUCAUGCUUUCUCUAAAGCCUGUAGGGUAAGGGCCCUUCCUUGCCCCUUCCUAGUUUCCAGUGUCACCAGCCGUCCUGCGGGCCUUUGGCUCCCUCCAGUCUCGGCCUCCGUCCUCACUUGGGCUUCUUCUCUCUGUGUGUCUGUGAGUCUUUGCGUCCCUCUCUCCCUGGAAGGACCCCGGUCAUUGGGUGUAGUGCCCACCCUAAUCCAGGAUGGCCUCGUCGUCCCUUGAUUGCAUCUGCAAAGACCCCGAUCUCAAAGUAAGAUCACCCCAAGUACACAAAUACUCAGAUGGGGUCAGGAUUUCAGUGUAUCUCUUUGGAGGGAUACAGUUCAACCUAUAACAGAGCCCAAAGCGAAGCCAGCUCCUCCACCUCGCCCCGCCCCAGCGCAGUUGGCUCAGGGACCACUGCUUGGCUGCAUAGACGGAGGGCUUACUUUCCGAGAGGGACUGGGCAGCGCCCUUCCCAUUCGUUGUCCUGUUUGAUUCCGAGGCAGUCUUACGGUGCCUUAUGCAGAAAAUACUCAUCAGACACCUCCCGUGCCUGGCCCUGGAGGCGUGAAAGAUCCCUGAAGCCCUUGCCCACAGGGAUCUUAACGUCUUUAAUGCAGUGAAGAGGCAGGGAUGUGGGAAUAAGCAGUUCCAGUCGUUGCCACGUCUGAUGAAAAAGCAGAGCUCUGCAGGAGAGAACCUUCAGCUCAAGGUCUCGGCCCAGACAGUGACAUCACGGAGCCGCCCCCACCCCACCCCGCGGCCCAUGGGUGGGGAGGCAAGGAGGCUCCGAGAAGACCUUGCAGUCGGGGGAGGAGCAGCGGGGGUAGUGGGGCGGGAGUGCGGGGAGAAGCUGGGCUGCAGGACGGGGAAUGAAGCCCCCCUGACUGGCCGCCCCCUGGGCACCAUGUGUGGGCCCCUCCUCUGGGCCCCUGGGAGGGAGGCUUUCUUCCUUGUGCCUGCGGUCAGAUCCCGCAUCUCCUUUCUGUCUUUGUUCUCUGGAUUCUUCCUGCCUUGGGUGUGUGAAAAGGGAGCCUCUUGGCAGCGUGCUCUGCUCUUAGAGGGCGCCACGCACCUGCACCCCUCUUCCCCUCCCUCCGGCCCCUCCGCCCUCCCUCCUCCUCCCUCCUCUCCUUACCUGGCCGCCACCUGACCCUCCUCCUCGUACAACUCGGUUCAGAGAAUAACUCACAGCGGCUGCCUUAGAGAAUCUUUCAAAGACACGCACCGGCCUGUGCCCUCCUUUCUUUCAGUGAAUACCCUUCAGCCACCCCCCACACGUGGUCCUCAGGUUCGUGCGCUCAUGUCUUCAUGGUCGUUACUUGGUUUCUAAGGCUCUGGUGGGCACUGGCUGGGCUUCAGGAAAGGCCCCAUCUGGGCACUGAGAGAUGGGCAGGCAUUCCCUACCCCCGCCCUGGGGAGAAAUGUGGUCCAGCCACAAAGAGCAGGAGAGACUCAGAGGAGACAUGGUGUAGAGCAGGUCCUGGCUCUUGCUGUUGAGAUGAGACCAUUCGAGGCCUCAAAGCAGAUCUGACUUGUGCUUUAACUCAGUCAUUCUAGCUGCUGCUGCACUGGAAAUGGGCUGAAAGUGGCAAAGGUGGAAGCAGACGGACCAGUUAAGAGACUGCUGCAGUGAGCCAGGGAAGGGACGAUGGUGGCCUGGCCUCGAGGUCGCAGAGGGGGUUGUGAGAAGUGAUGGGAAGUGACUAUGUCAGGAAGGUAGACUUUGCUGGUGGGUUGGGUACGGGGCAUCAAGUAAAGGGUGAUCCCAGAAGUUUACUUUGAGCAAGUAAAGAAUGAAGUUUCCAUUUAUUCAUAUAAGGGACCCGUGAGGGGAGCAGGGAGUUCGGUGGGCAGGGGCGGAAUUGAGAUGGUUGAGAUGUUAGACAUCAUUAGACAUACAGGUAGAGACACUCGGAGAGCAGCUGGAUGUGUGAAUCUGGAGUGUGAAGGUGAAUGUCCUAUGUCAGUUCGGCUAGAUAUCCAGACAUUUGGUCAAACACCAGUUUAAGUAUCACUGUGAAGGCAUUUUUUGGAUGAGAUUAACAUUUACAGGAGUUGCUAUCGUGGCGCAGUGGUUAACCAAUCUGACUGGGAACCAUGAGGUUGCAGGUUUGAUCCCUGCCCUUGCUCAGUGGGUUAACGAUCCGGCAUUGCUGUGGCUGUGGUGUGAGCCAGCGGCUAUAGCUGCGAUUCGACCCCUAGCCUGGGAACCUCCAUAUGCCGCAGGAGCGGCCCAAGAAAUGGCAAAAAGAC